AAUAMGCUCAUAGCGUAUAUUAAGUUGUUGCAGUUAAAAAGCUCGUAGUUGGAUCUCGGGUCCAGGCUGGCGGUCCGACGCCUGUCGGUUACUGCCUGCUCCUGACCUACCUCCCGGUUUUUCGCCCUUGGUGCUCUUGACUGAGUGUCUCGGGUGGCCGGAACGUUUACUUUGAAAAAAUUAGAGUGUUCAAAGCAGGCAAUAUCGCCUGAAUAAUGGUGCAUGGAAUAAUGGAAUAGGACCUCGGUUCUAUUUUGCUGGUUUUCGGAGCUCGAGGUAAUGAUUAAGAGGGACUGACGGGGGCAUUCGUAUUACGGUGUUAGAGGUGAAAUUCUUGGAUCGCCGUAAGACGAACUACUGCGAAAGCAUUUGCCAAGCAUGUUUUCAUUAGUCAAGAACGAAAGUCAGAGGUUCGAAGRCGAUCAGAUACCGCCA
rnacentral:rRNA from 1 species